rnacentral:rRNA from 1 species
GCGGCAAAAGCUCAAAUUUGAAAUCUGAGGCUCUCCAGCCCCCGAGUUGUAAUUUGAAGAUGGUGUUCUGGUGCCGGCGCCCUGUCUACGUUCCUUGGAACAGGACAUCGCAGAGGGUGAGAAUCCCGUGUGGCGGGGCGGCCUGGCUCCGUGUAGAGCGCCAUCGACGAGUCGAGUUGUUUGGGAAUGCAGCUCUAAGUGGGUGGUAAAUUCCAUCUAAAGCUAAAUAUUGGCGAGAGACCGAUAGCGAACAAGUACAGUGAUGGAAAGAUGAAAAGAACUUUGAAAAGAGAGUGAAAAAGUACGUGAAAUUGUUGAAAGGGAAGGGUAUUGGAUCAGACUUGGUGCUGUGCGAAUAGCGGCUCUUCCUGGGCCGCCCCACUCGCACUCCACCGGGCCAGCAUCGGUUUGGGCGGCAAGACAAUGGCGGGGGAACGUGGCACUGCUCUCGGGCAGUGUGUUUAUAGCCCUCGCUGAUGUUGCCUGCCUAGACCGAGGACUGCGGCUUCUGCCUAGGAUGCUGGCGUAAUGAUCCAACACCGCCCGUCUU